UGUUCCACAUUAUGAUUAAUCCUUCCUUGUAGUGCCAUAUAUUGAUGAAAAAUUGAAUGUCUUGCAUUGUUCAAGCUGUUGCUUAAUAUGCUGGCAAGAUAGCGCAAGGUUCAAUUGCAGGUGUUACAGCAGAAUACAAUCAGGAAGAAAUUCAUGCUUCUAUUAAGGUCGAUGUUGACUCAAAAUUACCAAUUUCACAACCUUUACAUUGAGGAUCGCCGACCAUGAAGGAUACAUUUUCACUGAAAUUGCCAGAUCAUAGCUCUAAAAGGUGCAGCUUCUAGUUCCGGAUAAAGUAGAAUACUUCUACAAAAAUGCUGCUUUAUCUACGAGACUUCCUUCAAACAGCCGCCAUAUAAUUCAGCUUUCUGCAACUUUUGGUGCUCCACACCUUGCAUUUGGUAUGGAGACGCUAUACAGUCUUGCUUCGAAGAGAUUUCACGAAUUUAACGCAGGCAUUAGAGUGAUAAAACCAAAUUUUGAGGGAUCAAUUACUUCGGAAGUUAUUUUACCUGCACUGGUGACAAAUUGGACCGACUUUCCUA